rnacentral:ncRNA from 1 species
GGCAACUGGCCUCGUUAGGAGGUGAGGUUUUAGUGGAAAUAUUCACUUUAUAUUUCCUUGCCCCAUUACAUGUGGGACUAAUUUUAAUAUUAGUGGAGUAUUUGCUGAACUCUAGCAAGAAAAAAUAGUUGCCUUAGCACCAGAACGUUAGAUACUAUUUAACGAAAAA